AUCAUGUCCAAACUUCAAUAUGGUUUUGAGAUCAAUUUUGGCAGUACCAGGAGGAGCUCUUCUUUCUGAGGGUGAACAAGAUCACCUGAUUCCUCCACCUCGCGGUGCCUUUUGGAGAGUGACUUCUUUGUUGCUGCUGGCUGAAUGAUUGCUCAUUCAUUCCUCCAUGAUGGGCCGGGCCUUGGAGGACUCAGCCCAGCUGUUCUGCAUGUGCUCUUUGGUGGAAGCCCAGAAGAAGUCAUGAUGAACAUAUCAAGGACUGUGCUGA
ensembl:lncRNA